rnacentral:lncRNA from 1 species
UUAGAGUUAAGCUAAAAUACUAUCGAUAGCAAACGGGCUCCGUUGCCACCCAUUUGUUUUCGAUGAUAGAGCCUCCAAAUCGACGAUCGGCACCGUUGAACAUGAUCUAUACCACUUGAAGUGUUUAGAAAUCAAAUUUCAAAUCUUUUCGACAUCAUUUGCCUAAUGAUCAAAGGGUUUCAAAAUUUAUAAUUUUAAUGGUCGAUAUGAGGCGUUUUCUCGUUUAAUGUCGUAAAGAUAUCCUAAUCAAUUGAAUUUUUGUUAGAAAAUUCUUUAAACUAUUUAAAACAAGAUUUAUACUCUUGAUCUUGACUACAAGACUCCUAUCAUCAUUUUUUAAAGAAUAUUCAUUUUCAGCCG